rnacentral:tRNA from 1 species
UUUGUUUUAGUAUAGGUAAAUAUUAUAUUGGCUUUUCGUGUCAGAGAGAAUCAGUUGGAUUAAACAAAA